CGCGGCCUAUCAGCUUGUUGGUGGGGUGAUGGCCUACCAAGGCAGUGACGGGUAGCCGGCCUGAGAGGGCGACCGGCCACACUGGGACUGAGACACGGCCCAGACUCCUACGGGAGGCAGCAGUGGGGAAUAUUGCGCAAUGGGCGGAAGCCUGACGCAGCGACGCCGCGUGAGGGAUGACGGUCUUCGGAUUGUAAACCUCUUUCACCCACGACGAAGCGAAAGUGACGGUAGUGGGAGAAGAAGCACCGGCCAACUACGUGCCAGCAGCCGCGGUAAUACGUAGGGUGCAAGCGUUGUCCGGAAUUAUUGGGCGUAAAGAGCUCGUAGGCGGCUUGUCACGUCGACUGUGAAAACCCGGGGCUCAACUCCGGGCCUGCAGUCGAUACGGGCUGGCUUGAGUGCGGUAGGGGAGACUGGGAUUCCUGGUGUAGCGGUGAAAUGCGCAGAUAUCAGGAGGAACACCGGUGGCGAAGGCGGGUCUCUGGGCCGUAACUGACGCUGAGGAGCGAAAGCGUGGGGAGCGAACAGGAUUAGAUACCCUGGUAGUCCACGCCGUAAACGUUGGGCGCUAGGUGUGGGGACCUAUCCACGGUCUCCGUGCCGCAGCUAACGCAUUAAGCGCCCCGCCUGGGGAGUACGG
rnacentral:rRNA from 1 species